rnacentral:tmRNA from 1 species
GGGGAUGACCCGGUUUCGGCGGGGGUAGCCAAACGGGACGUGGCGAGCCGAGGAUGAUCGUGGGCCUCGUAAAUCAUCGAUCAAGCCUUCAAUUGGCAACAACAACAGCACCACCUACGCUCUCGCUGCUUAAGUGAAACGGUGACCAUCAAGCCCGGCCAUUGGCGUGAUGCGAACCUGCGAAUAGAUGGCUAGCCUGAGCCGACGCUCCUGAGCACAGGUGAGACUAAGGGGCUGGGUUCAAAAGCAGAGUGUUCGUGCCCGGCUGAGGACUGAGAUUUAAACCGCGAACUACGCUCGUAGAUACUACCGGGAGGGACUUUCGAAUCGGCGGUUCGACUCCGCCCAUCUCCACCC